rnacentral:rRNA from 1 species
CCUACGGGUGGCUGCAGUGGGGAAUAUUGGACAAUGGGCGAAAGCCUGAUCCAGCCAUGCCGCGUGUGUGAAGAAGGCCUUCGGGUUGUAAAGCACUUUCAGUGGGGAAGAAAGCCUUGGGGCUAAUACCCUCGAGGAAGGACAUCACCCACAGAAGAAGCACCGGCUAACUCCGUGCCAGCAGCCGCGGUAAUACGGAGGGUGCGAGCGUUAAUCGGAAUUACUGGGCGUAAAGCGCGCGUAGGCGGUCUGAUAAGCCGGUUGUGAAAGCCCCGGGCUCAACAUGGGAACGGCAUCCGGAACUGUCAGGCUAGAGUGCAGGAGAGGAAGGUAGAAUUCCCGGUGUAGCGGUGAAAUGCGUAGAGAUCGGGAGGAAUACCAGUGGCGAAGGCGGCCUUCUGGACUGACACUGACGCUGAGGUGCGAAAGCGUGGGUAGCAAACAGGAUUAGAUACCCUAGUAGUC